CCUACGGGAGGCUGCAGUGGGGAAUAUUGGACAAUGGGGGGAACCCUGAUCCAGCGACGCCGCGUGAGUGAAGAAGUAUUUCGGUAUGUAAAGCUCUAUCAGCAGGGAAGAAAGAAAUGACGGUACCUGACUAAGAAGCCCCGGCUAACUACGUGCCAGCAGCCGCGGUAAUACGUAGGGGGCAAGCGUUAUCCGGAUUUACUGGGUGUAAAGGGAGCGUAGACGGCGAUGUAAGUCUGAAGUGAAAGGCGGGGGCCCAACCUCCGGACUGCUUUGGAAACUGUAUGGCUGGAGUGCAGGGGAGGUAAGUGGAAUUCCUAGUGUAGCGGUGAAAUGCGUAGAUAUUAGGAGGAACACCAGUGGCGAAGGCGGCUUACUGGACUGUAACUGACGUUGAGGCUCGAAAGCGUGGGGAGCAAACAGGAUUAGAUACCCCUGUAGUC
rnacentral:rRNA from 1 species